rnacentral:rRNA from 1 species
GAUGAACGCUGACAGAAUGCUUAACACAUGCAAGUCGAUUCGAUUUACCUUCGGGUAUUGAGGAUGGCGGACGGGUGAGUAACGCGUAAGGAACUUGCCUCUUGGUCUGGGACAACUGUUGGAAACGACAGCUAAUACCGGAUAUUAUGAGAUUCUCGCAUGGGAAACUUAUGAAAGCUAUAUGCGCCAAGAGAGAGCCUUGCGUUCCAUUAGCUAGUUGGUGGGGUAACGGCCCACCAAGGCGACGAUGGAUAGCCGGCCUGAGAGGGUGAACGGCCACAAGGGGACUGAGACACGGCCCUUACUCCUACGGGAGGCAGCAGUGGGGAAUAUUGGACAAUGGGCCACAAGCCUGAUCCAGCAAUUCUGUGUGCACGAUGAAGGUCUUCGGAUUGUAAAGUGCUUUCAGCUGGGAAGAAGAAAGUGACGGUACCAACAGAAGAAGCGACGGCUAAAUACGUGCCAGCAGCCGCGGUAAUACGUAUGUCGCAAGCGUUAUCCGGAUUUAUUGGGCGUAAAGCGCGUCUAGGCGGAAAAAUAAGUCUGAUGUUAAAAUGCGGGGCUCAACUCCGUAUUGCGUUGGAAACUGUUUUUCUAGAGUACUGGAGAGGUGGGCGGAACUACAAGUGUAGAGGUGAAAUUCGUAGAUAUUUGUAGGAAUGCCGAUGGAGAAGUCAGCUCACUGGACAGAUACUGACGCUAAAGCGCGAAAGCGUGGGGAGCAAACAGGAUUAGAUACCCUGGUAGUCCACGCCGUAAACNAUGAUCACUAGG